UACGUAGGGUGCGAGCGUUAAUCGGAAUUACUGGGCGUAAAGCGUGCGCAGGCGGUUUUGUAAGCCGGAUGUGAAAUCCCCGGGCUUAACCUGGGAAUGGCAUUCGGGGACUGCAAGGCUGGAGUGCGGCAGAGGAGACUGGAAUUCCUGGUGUAGCAGGUGGAAAUGCGUACGAUAUCAGGAGGAACACCGAUGGCGAAGGCAGGUCUCUGGGCCGUAACUGACGCUGAGGAGCGAAAGCGUGGGGAGCGAACAGG
rnacentral:rRNA from 1 species